GUUAAAAUGAGUUCAUUAUGUAACUGAGUACUCUCAUUUUUCAGUUUAUUUUUUAAUUAUUUUCUCCUCUCCCCUUUCCCCCGGCUUAUGCCCCCAAAGCAUGCCUGCCUCAGAACCUUCACCCUCUAGGAGGGGUUGCCUUGGAACUCCCACCCACCAGGAGGGCAUGUCAAAAGCACGCCCACUUGGCCACUUUUAUAACUUCUGCCCAGGAAGGCACCAACUCAGCUACCCAGUAGUUAAGGCACUGGGCCAGCAGGGGGACCCCUCGCCCUUGCUCACUCCUUCCCCGGCCUUGGAUAAGUGCCUACUUUCUGCUCUGGGAGCAAAACGUCACAUGUAAAGGCAGGACUAACGUUCACGACUCUUCCCCAAGCUAGCUUCGGAAGAAACCGCUUUCUUUAUGCCAGACCUCGCUCUUGUUAAUUGGACUACGCAGGCAGCAAGCAACUAACCCUCUGUUUGGUGACGGUUAUGGAUGGGCGCCCUAAUCCGGCCCUGUUUUGUGUGAGGAUUCCCAGUGUCUAGCACAAUGCCUGGUACAUACCAUGUGUUUAAUACCUAGUUCUUAAAGGAAGAAGGAAGAGAGGAAGAGGAAGGAAAUUCUAUCCAAUAAAUGCUAUCUAGGAACAAUGUGGAUUUAUCUUUCUCUUUAGUUACUUAGGAGCUACAUUAGUAUCCUUAGAACUUGUGCUGGAGAGAUUAGUGUUGGCAGUUUAUUAUUUCGUUACCCUUCGAAACUGCAUGGGUAAUAACAGACUGUGGAUAGUCUCACAUGCUGUCUCCAAAUACUUUCUCCCUAAAACUAGAGCAUAUCCUCUUAAACACUGGCCUUGUUCGCCACCACCAUGGCCCAGAAGCAGGCCCAAUAAUCCUGGGGAGUGUUCCUGACUGGAACUCUGGGUCAGAAAGGAUAAAGAUGACUUAAUCUCGCAAUCCCACUUUCUACUCGGUUCUGAUACUCUUGAUGUACACAUGUUCCUCUGCUAGGUGCUUUUCAUUUUUUUGAGGGCCUUCAGUCUUCUGUUCAAGUGUGCAUGGUGCUUCUAAGCCUUCUCACUUAGUUUUGAAAUUAGCAUUCUACUCAGAAUAGAUAAAUGCUGCCAACUUGCAGUUCUUUUGCUUGGCCCAGAUUCCCUUAUAGUUUGCAGGUAAUUUUCAGGGUCUUCAGUAUGAGAUUAUUUUCAUUUCCUAGUUUCAACACAGAUGGUUUUCUCUUUACUUUUGGUUCAUUUCCGUGCAUUUUGGGGAAAGGAGAUAGAUAAAUGUGCACUUUUCAGCUACCUUUCUGGACAAUAUUAGCAUUUCCCCUUUACUUCUGAAUAUCCUUUGGACUCUCCUAUAUUGGAAAAAGAGGGUGAUUUAUGACUAUUUUAAUGGAAAACAAAAAUAAAUCUAUAGACAAGUUGUUAGAUAUAUUAAGAGUUUAACAAGGUGAAUAUUAUAACAGCUAUACCUUCACCCAGCUACCCUUGCUGGGCUCUAACUCGCUGUCUCUUUCUCUUGUUAUUGUUGUUGUUUUCCCCCAUGGGUGAGUUCUUUAUGGCAGUCUCCACCAUUUCCUCAUAAUCAUUUUCCUUUUGAUUUCUAUAUUCUGACAUCCAGUUCCCAUCAUACUGCGGCAGCUGAUCUCUCAAAAUAAAUUCAUUGAUUUUUUUUUUUAUAAUUGCAGUUACAUUUUUUCUCCUUUACUUUCCUUGCACACAGGACUGUAUUUGAUGCUGUUAAUUAACCCUUCUUUAAAACUUUGUUUUUUGUUUACUUCUGUUUCUUUACUGACUGUGUACAGUAAUCAGAAAAAUCAGAAAAAGACCUGAUUUUCUCUAAAUCAGGCCUUUUUCCCUCAAGGAUCUUUGUGGCCAUUUCCCCUGGUUUUCCUUGAGGAGAAAACUAUCUCUCUACAUCUCCCUCUUAACCCAACUUCCACUCCGCUAUUUUAAUAGUCUACUGGAUGCUACGGUGAACAAUUUAAAAGACAGAAGGACUGGGUGACAAACGUGAGGGAAUUUGGACUGAUGUCUGCAUGUCUGGCUUGAGUAACAGUAGGGACAGCAGUGCUGUUUCACAUAUACAAGGAACAUGAGGGAGAAAAGGGCUCAAGAGGAUCAUUUUGAUUACAACAAACAGGAACAAUGGAAACCACCUGACACCAGUCCCAAACCACCAGUGACAUUAGUCCAACCACUUUAAGAGAGUCUGAACUAGGUAGAAAGGCAAACUGAUAGAGGCUCUCGGGAAAGGAGUAACUACUGAGAAGUCAGCAAGAGAAAAAGUAACUUGACAACACUGUUUUCAAACCAUUGCAG
rnacentral:lncRNA from 1 species